GCUUUGGAGCAGCACAUACAUUACCUGUCAGCUGUAGCCAAUCCCCACUGGUUUCUCUGUCAAGGCCUUAGAGGAGCAUCACCUCACUCUUUUCCUUCCUGCUACAAAGUGCCUCGCUGCUGUUUCCAAGUCAAUAGCAGCAGCAGACCAACCAGUGUCACCAGUUGCUUUCCAGCCUACAGGCAGAGUGCUCCAUCUGCACAGGGAAGCAGUGGACACUCCUGACACUCUGGCAGCAGGGAGCAGAGCUGUGGCUGCUGAAAGCCCAGGCACCACUGCAACACUUCUUCAGAAGUGGUUUUCCACACGCAGCGCUGCAGGAGAGCGCUGUGGGGUCUGUGCACAUAUCCUCUGUGUGUGUGUUAAUUUUUGGCAGCUGCAUAGCAUUUUGAACCAAAGGAUGCUGAUAAUGCCCUUUAUGUUGCUGUUGACUUUGGAUAAAUGGGUGAGUUAUCUAAGAGAUGACAGUGAAGCUCACGGGUGAUGCAUUGAUGGCACCUACCCAUACUUACGAGGAACUGCUCAUCGUGCCUGCACUAAAGGCUCUGUCACGUUCCCUCUCAUGGGGUCUAGCUGAUGGGUGUUAAACAGAAUUAACUUCAGCCACAUCUAAAUAGCUGCUCCUUGGCCAAGAUGGGUACCUCAGAGAGAUUCUCACUGUAAAUUUUUUGUCUUAUUUUCAUUAAGCUGCUAAAAAAACCAACGUGAAUGAAAGACUGGAUGAAAAGGACUGUGCAACUUAACCGCUGGUGGGAUUCAUUGCUGGUGAGAUGGAAAUGGCUGCUGACAGAGCUCAGUGUCACCAGUGGUCGUUGUGCUGCAGUGGCACACAAAAACACUGCCUUCUAUCUGGCUGCUCAAGGUCUGCUGCUUCAGAUACAAAAACCUCACUUCAAAUUUUCUGCACAGAGCUGAACAGGUCAAGCGUUUCUCACUUGAGAUGCUUCUCUGUAGCUUCAGUUAAGACCUCAGAAACCUACCCUAACUAAAUGAAAGUUGUCUUCACUGAGCCUUGCAAUUCUUAAACGUUCUAUUGAAUGAAAUUGAUUUGUAAGAAAUGUUUUGAUGAGUG
ensembl:lncRNA